rnacentral:lncRNA from 1 species
AUGGAGGAGCUCUGGCGCCUCUGGACUGAGGAGCGGAAGCUCUGGCAGCGCCGGACAGGCGGGAGACUCCGGCAGCGCCGGACAGGCGGGAACACCUGUAGGGAGGAGACAGAGAGACAGCCUGGUGCGUGGGGCUGCCACAGGACCCAUCAGGCUGGGGAGACCUCCAGGAGGCUUGGUGUUAGGAGGAGGCACCUGAAGGACCGGGCUGUGGGGGAGCACUGGAGCUCUGGUGCGCAGCCUUGGCACCACUCCCCCAGGCUGGAUCACUACUCUAGCCCGGACCCUCCAGAGUGCAGGCACAGGUUAAACCGGGCUGUGGGUAAGCACGGGAGAUCUAGUGCCUACUACGCGCACCUCUCUCUUAGACUCCACUCCCACAGUUGCCCGGCACGAGCGGAGCGCAGGAAUAGGAUGCACUGCACCCUCCCAGCGCCCCGGAGACACAGUACGCAGAGCCGGCGUAGGAUACCCUGGACCAAAACUGCGUACCGGCGACCAGACACGCUGAGAAGGCACCAUACGCCAUGGCUCGAUGCCCACACUCGCAUGACACUUUCGGGGGGCUGCCCUAUAGGGCACCGGGCUAUGGGCACUUACUGGCGACACUGUGCGCUUAAUCGCAUAACACGGUGCCUGACCAGUAACGCGCUGCUUAUAAUAAGCACGAGGAGUGAGCUCUGGCUUAGCCCCACACCUCGUGUGCCCCCGGCAAAAGAAAUUCGGGGGCUGCCUCUCGUACCUGUCGAGCUGCCGUGCUGCCUCCUCAUAUCGCCGCCGCUCAGCUUUCGCUGCCUCCAGCUCUGCUUUGGGGCGGAGAUAUUCCCCAGCCUGUGCCCAGGGUCCCUCUCCGUUCAAUAUCUCCUCCCAUGUCCAGUGACGCUGGCCACUGUUGUUGCUGCUGCUGCUGCUGUCGUCGCUGUCUUUUACCACGCCGCUUGGUCCUUGGUUGGUGGGUGUUUCUGUAAGGGAUUUCCUCCUCUUCUUCCGAAGAGGAGAGGCGAGAAGGAAGUGUGUGGUAAGUGUCCAUGGUUCUUUUAA